CAAAAUCUCUGGAAAACAGCAGGAGAAAAGCAGCUUUUGCCAAAGCAGUGUCUAGAGGCACCGCCAUCAGAGAACACACAGAGAGGAUCCCGGCUCUUUCCUUUUGCCACCCAGAGUCCCGGUGCCAUCUGUGCAGCAUGCCAGCACCAGUGCCAGCGGCGCCACAAACCCUCACUCGGCUCCGGGAGGCCAUCUUGACGGAGAUCUUCACACCAGGAGCUAAGAUGGCUGGACUGGCACAUGAGAUGUGGACUGAACAUGGAAAAAGCAACACAUCAGAGCAAUGGAAACUGAAGCUCCUGAGGAACACAUGUGAUGAGUGCGAAAGCAGUUUGUCUUUAUUUAUUACAUAAACAAUUAGCUGUACUGUAUUAGAUUGUGUUUUUAUUCACAGGAUGGGACUCUUAAGCUGCUCAUUGCUAUUUAUUUUAUCAUAUUUUGUUAUGAAAAUAUGUUCUAAACCUGUAUUUUUUUAUUUUGAAUGAAUUGUUUUUGUCCUGACUACAUUAUAUUCUUUGUAUACAUUUUAUAUUGUACAUUUGUAGCUACCAAAUGCAUCUGACAGUUUUUUGUAUCCAUUUUAUUGUGCAUUUGU